UGGCCCUAACAUCACCGGUACGUUGCUCAAGCACUCGAGUGCCACAAAAGUUCACAAAAGGAAACGUGAAAUGUCUUCAAGCUAAUGGAAUAUCGUUACACGAAUAGAGGGCGUCGAAGAGACGUAGGCUGCAGCUUGGGACGGUUAUUCCAUCUUUCAAUACACCUGCCAUCUGUUUGUGGAUAGGGAGCUUAUAAUCCCCAAAAUCGGCUUGAAGCUGGCUAUUGAAUACCUGUUUGCUGUCCACUACUGCUUGAACAUCAAAUAUGCUCCACCUGUAUUGGCGACCCUUGAAUUUCUUCAUAGGUAGGCAAGCUCACCAUCUCCUGAAGUAAGCCAUCUGAGUGGUCUUCGAACCUGAUGAGGCCACUUGUCACCACUAUAAGCGGUACACCGGAAGAGUGGCUCAGCAGAUGAACCUGCAGCAGAACCAAGUGGGUGCCAAACCAGCGAGGCAUCAACCACCUUGGCCAAGAAAACUAGCAAAACGCCGAGACAAGACACCAUAAAACAACUUUUGACCGGUUCAUUUCAGCACGAUAAAAGCAGGAGGAAAACUGAAAAAAAAAAGGACACUAUGAAAUGAUGGAAAUUGAACCCCAGAAAGUGAAAUUGCUCGGAAAAUUGGUGAAAACUAUAGGAAGAGAUGGUGAUGAUGAUGAUGACAUCAGUAUGUUGUUUCUUUCUGUGAGCUUGCCAUGUCUUAAUCGAAAGCCACUGUCGUUUCUUAUUUUAUAAGUAUAUAUUUGGUCAGUAAACAACAAGAAAGUUUGGCAUUCUUUUUUUUU